UUUUUUUUUUUUUUUUUUGGUUUUUUUUUCUGUCUACUCCCACAACCAAGGAAGACUGCAGUCUUAUUUACACUACUGUAUUCUCCUACUCAGAUUAAUGGUAAGCCUCAGGGGAGGGUGACUGACCUCAAAGGCAUCCAGCAGCAUUCCAAGGCACUGCAGACCACAGAAGGCAUUGACACUGACCAUGCCCACAAGUGGUAUCUCAAGACUAUCUGGUUGGCACCAGACAAUCCUCUUUGCUUGGGCAGCCUAGAUUUAAUCUCAGAAACAAAACAGAGGUACAGUUUGCUAAUUGGUGAGGUGAUAUUUGACACCUCUCCCUGAUUAAGAAUCUAGAAGCCGACUUUGAUCACACAUCAAGGUCUAUUUAGGCACGAUGUGCCUGCUUCUGAACUUGGUCCCAGAUGUGUCUCUUGGCAGAGGAUCAAGCUAUGGCAUGGGUGAAAGCGUCUUGCUUUGCUUGUCCUGCCUUUGGGUCUGAGUCAGCCUUGGAAGGAGACUGACAGCUGUGGAAUUUGGUAAGGUUACCAAGAAGAGCCUCUUGUGCUCUCCCAGCCUGUCUCUCUCGUUUGGUUGUCUUGAUAUAUAUUUUAGACUUAAGUUUGGAGAGCUGUGCCUCUUGGUUGUAACAUCAUCUGGAUGUUGUUCAUCAACUGAGUAGGUUGUUUCAAUCUCUCCUGACGCCAUCUUCUUGGUUCCUGCUUUCAUUCUUGUUUAGUCUGUGAUCCUGAUACCGGUCUCCUGGUCCCAUCCCUCAGGUUGUUCUAACAAACUAGAAGCAAGAAUUUCAAAUAUGUGCAAGUAAGUCUGCAGGACAUCUUCUCACCAAGUAAAAACUAGUGUCCAUCUGACUUCUCCAUUGUUUCUUGAUAACAGUAUCUCCCUCGACUAUCUUUUGCCAUUCAAUAUACUAUUAUAAAUCACUGUUAAACCAGAAAUCAAGUCAGACAUGGAAGAUGUGUCGUUUUUAACAGAAGCAAAUGCAUGUUAUAUAAAAGCGAUUUGGUAAACUCCAAGACAUAUGUGUUCCAGUUGAUUUUAGGAAAGGCACACUAAAAUAAAGAGAGUGAUACCUACCUAGCCUACAAGAGCAGCCACACUUAGGAUCCAACUCAAUCAAUGGUUGGAUUCUUCUCUUAGAAUACAAGCUGUUAAAGGAGAGGAGCAGAGCCAUAGCCUUUUCUAAAUACAGUCAAGUUGAAUGGAGUAAUUAAAUGUUCCAACAGCGUGACACACAUAAAUCACAUCUGUCAAAAUAAUAACAACUAUUAUGUAUUGAGUCACAGAAAUGAGGGAUGUUCAGUAUGAAAAAUUGCUGAAAGACCCAAGCCAGAGAGGCAGGCUGGGAUUUCCUGUCAGCUAAGUCUGACUCCAAAGCUCACUCGUCCUCUGGUGUAGGCCCUGUGAGCCAUGUGCACACACACCUCUGCCAUAACACAACACUAAAUACAGCACAGGAAUGUGCUAACAAAAAACCAAGGGAACUUCUUAGGCUUUUUGAUAUUUUUCUUUAAAGGGAUAAGUUUAAAAGAAUUAGAAACUCAAUUUCUUAUUUAGAUCAACUUUUCCUUUCUUAGAAAAAAGGUGAAACAUUUAGGAUGACCUUGACCAAAAAAAAAAAA
ensembl:lncRNA